rnacentral:rRNA from 1 species
AAAUUGAAGAGUUUGAUCAUGGCUCAGAUUGAACGCUGGCGGCAGGCCUAACACAUGCAAGUCGAACGGUAACAGGAAGCAGCUUGCUGCUUUGCUGACGAGUGGCGGACGGGUGAGUAAUGUCUGGGAAACUGCCUGAUGGAGGGGGAUAACUACUGGAAACGGUGGCUAAUACCGCAUAACGUCGCAAGACCAAAGAGGGGGACCUUCGGGCCUCUUGCCACCAGAUGUGCCCAGAUGGGAUUAGCUUGUUGGUGAGGUAACGGCUCACCAAGGCGACGAUCCCUAGCUGGUCUGAGAGGAUGACCAGCCACACUGGAACUGAGACACGGUCCAGACUCCUACGGGAGGCAGCAGUGGGGAAUAUUGCACAAUGGGCGCAAGCCUGAUGCAGCCAUGCCGCGUGUAUGAAGAAGGCCUUCGGGUUGUAAAGUACUUUCAGCGGGGAGGAAGGUGUUGUGGUUAAUAACC